rnacentral:rRNA from 1 species
GCACAAGCGGUGGAUGAUGUGGAUUAAUUCGAUGCAACGCGAAAACCUUACCUACCCUUGACAUGUCCGGAAUCCUGCAGAGAUGCGGGAGUGCCGAAAGGGAAUCGGAACACAGGUGCUGCAUGGCUGUCGUCAGCUCGUGUCGUGAGAUGUUGGGUUAAGUCCCGCAACGAGCGCAACCCUUAUCAUUAGUUGCUACGCAAGGGCACUCUAAUGAGACUGCCGGUGACAAACCGGAGGAAGGUGGGGAUGACGUCAAGUCCUCAUGGCCCUUAUGGGUAGGGCUUCACACGUCAUACAAUGGUCGGUACAGAGGGUUGCCAAGCCGCGAGGUGGAGCCAAUCCCAGAAAGCCGAUCGUAGUCCGGAUUGUUCUCUGCAACUCGAGAGCAUGAAGUCGGAAUCGCUAGUAAUCGCGGAUCAGCAUGUCGCGGUGAAUACGUUCCCAGGUCUU